UACAGAGGUCCCAAGCGUUGUUCGGAUUCACUGGGCGUAAAGGGUGCGCAGGUGGUUUGGCAAGUUUGAUGUGAAAGCCCCGGGCUUAACCCGGGAAUGGCAUUGAAUACUGCUUGAACUGGAGGGUCGGAGGGGGGACUAGAAUUCUUGGUGUAGCAGUGAAAUGCGUAGAUAUCAAGAGGAACACCAGUGGCGAAGGCGAGUCCCUGGACGAUACCUGACACUGAGGCACGAAAGCCAAGGGAGCAAACAGG
rnacentral:rRNA from 1 species